UGCAUUCCACAGGAAGAGACUAAGGCAGAACUGGGUAGAGGAAGAAGUUGAAAUGUGGUGCAGGCCCAGUGACGGCCUGGCUGAGCUCAUGAGAGCUCUUGAGCUAGAAUGGUCUUGCUAGAGUUGAGCCAGAUGGCAAGGUCUUCUUACUCCAAAGCUAUUAGUCACUAGAUAUGGGCUGCCCAGGAGGGGCUUGAUCAUGAGCAAGGCAGCUUGCCUGAAGGGAUGGCAGCUGAAGGCUGUCUGUUGACAGACUUCCAGCAGCUGGGACAACAAGCUCUUAUUUCAGGGAGGUCUGGGUGGUGUAUCUCAGUGUCCCACACAUGAACAUUACUUUGGAAUGAGUGUUUCCACAGCACAGGAGCCCAGCAUGGGGGAUGUACAGGAAAAUCUGCAGGCCUGGGUGUCAGCCCUGAGUCAGGACUCUGACUCUGUUGCUUCUUAGCUGUGGGACCAUGGGUGCAUGAUCAAGCUGACUUGAGGGUUCUGAACAGAAGCUGACCAGUCUACUGCACAUUGUAAAGAAGUUAAAAAGCUGGAUUGAAUUGCAAAAUGUACUACUCAAGGAGUCCAAAGAAUAAAAUAUGAGCAGCUUGUGGGGGUAAAGCAUUCGUAGGUAUAGUAUAGAAAAGGUCCAUGAGCAUCAUGUCAGUGUCUUUUAACUUUCCAUUGCAGUGGAAUAAUCCUUUAUGCGUUUAUGAAAAUCUUUGGAAAAGAAGCCACGUCACUGGGUGGUUCCUACUUAUUUUCCUCUCCAGGGGCCUUUGCUGCUCUUGCUGGGUGCCUCAGUUGCUAGCUUUGUGAGUAGUAAUGCCCCACUGUUCCCAGCUCCUUGCUUGCUGGGUGUGAGGACAGAGGCUAUCAUAGCAAUAAUUGCUGGAUGUUCUGUGUUUGCACAUCUGUGGUGGCCUUCUGAAUUGAGUUUCGUGCCAGAGCCAGGCAGCGCCUCCCUACCCCACCCUCCCACUGCCCCUUUAUUUUCUGUGUCACACCAUUAAAAGAAAUGAGAUUAUGGCACAAAUCAUCAUUCAUAUGACUCUAGCAUAGAAGGUUAGCGAGAUAUUGCAGAGAUAAUUCCAUAGCCACCAUGGCCCCUGACAAUAAUUACAAUGUGGCCACAGGGGAUUACCUUCUAAUAGGCUUUUGUUCACUCAAUUCAGAGUCUGUUGUGUGCUAGAGUUUGGAUAAUUAAAGUUGUGUCUCAGAAGCCACAUGUGGUAGCUCAUAAUUAUGUAGUCGAGUCUAACAGAAAACUGAGGUGACUGACACCCGGCCAGAGUGAAGAACAGGGGUCCUUGGUGACAACGAAGAAAGAAACCAGUCCCCUCAUUUGGGGACAGGGGAUUGGUGUUCACUCCAUAGCAUCAACUGCUUUAUUUAUUUUAAACAAAAAUGACUAAUUAUAGCCCUUUCUGGUCCAAUCCCUCACUCUCCACGGGGACUUUUCCUAACCCUUUCCUAUUGCUCCAACAAAAGAAUGGUAGCUGGUCUGAGCAAUGAAGAAAAUAUACAUGGCU
rnacentral:lncRNA from 1 species